UGCCCCGCACAGAACCAGGCCCCGGGGUUUCUCCUUCCCAGCCCGGAAGGCUCUGCCCUCCGCAGGUGGGCUGACUCUGCGUGCAGGUGUGCCUGGUUCUAGGGAAUGAUCCUGACCUGCCAAGUUACACCUCCCACCUGCGCCGCAGGAGCGGGACCCAGGGAGGCCGGGUGCCCGAGGCACUUUUAAACGCGGCUCAGGAGGGGUCCCUCCCCUUUCGUGGAGGAGGACGAAGGGUGCUGGUGCAGACGGUCUCAGGAGAGCGCGCCAAGUGGCCGCGGGCUCCCCGGCGACGCGCAGGAUGCUCUCACCUGCCUCGAACCCCUCGUCUUGCAAAAUGUUCAAAAUUGGAAAAAAAAGAAAGAAAAAAAAAAAAACGGCGACGACUGCAGAAGGGCAGAAGAAGCAGUUGUGGAUGGCUGCUCAAGAGAGAGGAGAGGGAUAGAAGAAACCAAAGGUUAUAUUGGUUGGGUAAUAAGACCCUCUGAAUUCCACAGGUUCAUUCUUAAAUGGCUUUAUCCCUAAUGAUCACUAACCCCAAUCUGCACAUAUACCCAGAGAUAACUGCCACUCACAAACGCUUAGCACUUGUCCACUUACAGAGCACCUUCCAUGAGUGUCAUAUCACUUUGUUCUGACAAUUCCAUGAGGAAAGCAAUGAUUCUGAUUUUUGACUGCUGUGUGACAGAUCACUCUAAAACUUAGUGACUUAAAACAACAACUUAUCAUUUCUCAUCAUUCUGCGAUCUGGGUUAGGCUCAGCUGGGACACUGGGAUGACUGGUCUUCUCUUUCUCUCCAUGUAGUGUCAAGGCCUCUGUCUUCACAUUGCCUUCUUACACCAUAGAUUCAUUUUGCUUAUUCAACAAAUUCAUACAAGUGAAAUCAUACUGUAUGUACUCUGUUGUGUGCAGUUUCUUUCACUCUGCACAAUAUUUUUAACAUUCACCAAUGUUGCAUGUAGUUCACUUCUUUGCAUUAGUGAGUAGUAUUCCACUAUGUGAAUAUACAGAAGUUUAUCUGUUGCACUGGUGGACAUUUAGGUUGUUUCCAGC